UCACAGUAGAAAGUCCUUGCCAGCCAGUC
rnacentral:piRNA from 1 species